GCCCUAGUUUUUCUGGAUAGUAGAUUCUUAGCCAUGCUCACUUUCAUUUUUUCAAAAUGCCCAGGAUCACAGCAUUUUUCAUUCAGGUAAAUUGCACUCAGCAAUGGCAUACUGUGGGAUGAAAAAUGUUUGUCCACGAGUCAGAUGAUUCCUGAUAUUCUUCAAAACAUGUGGAACAUCAGGCAUAAAUAUCCCAAAUUCCCGAAGAACAGCCUGGUUGCCCCCUCCCAUAUCCAUAGUGACAUUAUAAACUGUUAAAUUGCAUUCACU